rnacentral:rRNA from 1 species
CAGUAGCCGCGGUAAUACGUAGGGUGCGAGCGUUAAUCGGAAUUACUGGGCGCAAAGCGUGCGCAGGCGGUUAUAUAAGACAGAUGUGAAAUCCCCGGGCUCAACCUGGGACCUGCAUUUGUGACUGUAUAGCUAGAGUACGGUAGAGGGGGAUGGAAUUCCGCGUGUAGCAGUGAAAUGCGUAGAUAUGCGGAGGAACACCGAUGGCGAAGGCAAUCCCCUGGACCUGUACUGACGCUCAUGCACGAAAGCGUGGGGAGCAAACAGGAUUAGAUACCCCCGUAGUCCCUGUCUCUUAUAC